UACGUAGGGGGCGAGCGUUGUCCGGAGUUACUGGGCGUAAAGCGCACGCAGGCGGUCUGCUAAGUUUGGAGUGACAGUUGGUGGCUUAACUGCCAAAGUGCUUCGAAAACUGACAGACUUGAGGGCUUCAGAGGGACACGGAAUUCCGGGUGGAGUGGUGAAAUGCGUAGAGAUCCGGAGGAACACCAAAGGCGAAGGCAGUGUCCUGGGGAGUACCUGACGCUAAGGUGCGAAAGCCAGGGGAGCGAACGGG
rnacentral:rRNA from 1 species